AUCCAGAGUGGGUGAUCAGAGAGUUCAUGCAAUUCGCCUUGAAACUUCCUCUAGAGACUGUAAACAAGGUGGCUUUCCACCGUCUACACAGACUUGGAGCUUCCUCUAGAGACUGUAAACAAGGUGGCUUUCCACCGUCUACACAGACUUGGAGCUUCCUCUAGAGACUGUAAACAAGGUGGCUUUCCACCGUCUACACAGACUUGGAGCUUCCUCUAGAGACUGUAAACAAGGUGGCUUUCCACCGUCUACACAGACUUGGAGCUUCCUCUAGAGACUGUAAACAAGGUGGCUUUCCACCGUCUACACAGACUUGGAGCUUCCUCUAGAGACUGUAAACAAGGUGGCUUUCCACCGUCUACACAGACUUGGAGCUCGGAGCGACAAGACCAAGGGUCCC